rnacentral:rRNA from 1 species
AGUGAACGCUGGCGGUAGGCCUAACACAUGCAAGUCGAACGGCAGCACAGAGGAGCUUGCUCCUUGGGUGGCGAGUGGCGGACGGGUGAGGAAUACAUCGGAAUCUACUCUGUCGUGGGGGAUAACGUAGGGAAACUUACGCUAAUACCGCAUACGACCUACGGGUGAAAGCAGGGGAUCCUCGGACCUUGCGCGAUUGAAUGAGCCGAUGUCGGGUUAGCUAGUUGGCGGGGUAAAGGCCCACCAAGGCGACGAUCCGUAGAUGGUCUGAGAGGAUGAUCAGCCACACUGGAACUGAGACACGGUCCAGACUCCUACGGGAGGCAGCAGUGGGGAAUAUUGGACAAUGGGCGCAAGCCUGAUCCAGCCAUACCGCGUGGGUGAAGAAGGCCUUCGGGUUGUAAAGCCCUUUUGUUGGGAAAGAAAUCCAUCUGGUUAAUACCCGGGUGGGAUGACGGUACCCAAAGAAUAAGCACCGGCUAACUUCGUGCCAGCCGCCGCCGUAA